CAAUAAACAUAAUAGUGGAACAAAGUAAUUAAAUUUUCAAUAAAAAUAUGAAACUAUUUCAAUUAUUGUUUGUAGUUUGUUGCAUUGUUGCUGCUGUAAUGGGUGCUCCACGAGAUAAUGGAAUUGGUAAUAGCGGUGCUCAAAAUAUUUGUGUGAAAUGUAUAGAAGAUGCCAAGAAGCUUGAAAGUGUAAGGCAUCUUUUAUUUUAAUUAAAAUUUAUAUUUAAAGUUAAACUAAUGUCUAUCAUUAAAUAUGAAUUAAAGCCACUAAAAAUUUGUAACAUAAAAGUACCGAAAACAAACUGUACCAAAAUUAAUUGAAUUGAAUUAUUGAAAAUAAAUAUCAUUUAGUUACAUAAUAA